rnacentral:rRNA from 1 species
UCCUGACUGACCGAUAGUGAACCAGUACCGUGAGGGAAAGGCGAAAAGAACCCCGGCGAGGGGAGUGAAAAAGAACCUGAAACCGUGUACGUACAAGCAGUGGGAGCACGCUUAGGCGUGUGACUGCGUACCUUUUGUAUAAUGGGUCAGCGACUUAUAUUCUGUAGCAAGGUUAACCGAAUAGGGGAGCCGAAGGGAAACCGAGUCUUAACUGGGCGUUAAGUUGCAGGGUAUAGACCCGAAACCCGGUGAUCUAGCCAUGGGCAGGUUGAAGGUUGGGUAACACUAACUGGAGGACCGAACCGACUAAUGUUGAAAAAUUAGCGGAUGACUUGUGGCUGGGGGUGAAAGGCCAAUCAAACCGGGAGAUAGCUGGUUCUCCCCGAAAGCUAUUUAGGUAGCGCCUCGUGAAUUCAUCUCCGGGGGUAGAGCACUGUUUCGGCAAGGGGGUCAUCCCGACUUACCAACCCGAUGCAAACUGCGAAUACCGGAGAAUGUUAUCACGGGAGACACACGGCGGGUGCUAACGUCCGUCGUGAAGAGGGAAACAACCCAGACCGCCAGCUAAGGUCCCAAAGUCAUGGUUAAGUGGGAAACGAUGUGGGAAGGCCCAGACAGCCAGGAUGUUGGCUUAGAAGCAGCCAUCAUUUAAAGAAAGCGUAAUAGCUCACUGGUCGAGUCGGCCUGCGCGGAAGAUGUAACGGGGCUAAACCAUGCACCGAAGCUGCGGCAGCGACGCUUAUGCGUUGUUGGGUAGGGGAGCGUUCUGUAAGCCUGCGAAGGUGUGCUGUGAGGCAUGCUGGAGGUAUCAGAAGUGCGAAUGCUGACAUAAGUAACGAUA